UCAGAAUGUAUGGUAAAAAGUCAAAGGAAAAAAAGUAACAGGAAAAAAUGAAAUAGAAAAAAAGUAACAGUCUUUAUAUAAAUACUUAUA